GUUUAGGGACAAACUGCAUAUGGGUAUGAUGGUCAGGUGUCCACAAACCUUUGGCCUUUGGACCUGGUUAGUACUUAGAUGGGAGACCACCUGGGAAUACCUGGUACUCUAAGCC
rnacentral:rRNA from 1 species